CACCCAGAGCACACCUGCUCCCAUCUGAUCUCAGAAGCUAUGCAGGGGUG
rnacentral:rRNA from 1 species